GAUGAACGCUGGCGGCGUGCCUAAUACAUGCAAGUCGAGCGAACAGACGAGGAGCUUGCUCCUCUGACGUUAGCGGCGGACGUGUGAGUAACACGUGGAUAACCUACCUAUAAGACUGGGAUAACUUCGGGAAACCGGCGCUAAUACCGGAUAAUAUAUUGAACCGCAUGGUUCAAUAGUGAAAUACGGUUUUGCUGUCACUUAUAGAUGGAUCCGCGCCGCAUUAGCUAGUUGGUAAGGUAACGGCUUACCAAGGCAACGAUGCGUAGCCGACCUGAGAGGGUGAUCGGCCACACUGGAACUGAGAAACGGUCCAGACUCCUACGGGAGGCAGAAGUAGGGAAUCUGCGGAAAGGGGCGAAAGCCUGACGGAGAAACGCCGCGUGAGUGAUGAAGGUCUUCGGAUCGUAAAACUCUGUUAUUAGGGAGGAACAAAUGUGGAAGUAAAUAUGCACGUCGUGACGGUACCUAAUCAGAAAGCCACGGCUAACUACGUG
rnacentral:rRNA from 1 species